UAUUGGGUUUAAAGGGAGCGUAGGUGGACAGUUAAGUCAGUUGUUAAAGUUUGCGGCUCAACCGUAAAAUUGCAGUUGAUACUGGCUGUCUUGAGUACAGUAGAGGUGGGCGGAAUUCGUCGUGUAGCGGUGAAAUGCUUAGAUAUCACGAAGAACUCCGAUUGCGAAGGCAGCCUGCUGGACUGUAACUGACGCUGAUGCUCGAAAGUGUGGGUAUCAAACAGG
rnacentral:rRNA from 1 species